CCUACGGGUGGCAGCAGUGAGGAAUAUUGGUCAAUGGACGAGAGUCUGAUCCAGCCAAGUAGCGUGAAGGAAGACUGCCCUAUGGGUUGUAAACCUCUUUUAUAUGGGAAUAAAAUGUUACACGAGUAGGAUUAUGUAUGUACCAUAUGAAUACGGAUCGGCUAACUCCGUGCCCGCAGCCGCGGUAAUACGGAGGAUCCGAGCGUUAUCCGGAAUUAUUGGGUUUAAAGGGAGCGUAGGUGGAUUGUGAAGUCAGUGGUGAAAGUGGGCGGCUCAACCGGAAAAUUGCAGUUGAAACUGGCAGUCUUGAGUACAGGAGAGGUGGGCGGAAUUCGUGGUGUAGCGGUGAAAUGCUUAGAUAUCACGAAGAACUCCGAUUGCGAAGGCAGGUCACUGGACUGCAACUGACACUGAGGCUCGAAAGUGUGGGUAUCAAACAGGAUUAGAUACCCGGGUAGUC
rnacentral:rRNA from 1 species